AGAGUUUGAUCCUGGCUCAGGACGAACGCUGGCGGCGUGCCUAAUACAUGCAAGUUGAACGAUGAUUUCUGGUACUUGUAUCAGAAUGAAGAGUAGCGAACGGGUGAGUAACGCGUGGGUAACCUACCUCUUAGCGGGGGACAACUAUUGGAAACGAUAGCUAAUACCGCAUAACAAUGCUUAACACAUGUUGAGUAUUUGAAAGUACCAAUUGGUACACUAGGAGAUGGACCCGCGUUGUAUUAGCUAGUUGGUAGUGUAAUGGACUACCAAGGCGAUGAUACAUAGCCGACCUGAGAGGGUGAUCGGCCACAUUGGGACUGAGACACGGCCCAAACUCCUACGGGAGGCAGCAGUAGGGAAUCUUCGGCAAUGGACGAAAGUCUGACCGAGCAACGCCGCGUGAGUGAAGAAGGUUUUCGGAUCGUAAAACUCUGUUGUUAGAGAAGAACGUUGUGUAGAGUGGAAAAUUACACAAGUGACGGUAUCUAACCAGAAAGGGACGGCUAACUACGUGCCAGCAGCCGCGGUAAUACGUAGGUCCCGAGCGUUGUCCGGAUUUAUUGGGCGUAAAGCGAGCGCAGGUUGUUUAAUAAGUCUGAUGUAAAAGGCAGUGGCUCAACCAUUGUGUGCAUUGGAAACUGUUAGACUUGAGUGCAGUAGAGGAGAGUGGAAUUCCAUGUGUAGCGGUGAAAUGCGUAGAUAUAUGGAGGAACACCGGUGGCGAAAGCGGCUCUCUGGACUGUAACUGACACUGAGGCUCGAAAGCGUGGGUAGCAAACAGGAUUAGAUACCCUGGUAGUCCACGCCGUAAACGAUGAGUGCUAGUUGUUUGGGGCUAUCCAGCCCUAAGUGACGCAGCAACGCAUUAAGCACUCCGCCUGGGGAGUACGACCGCAAGGUUGAAACUCAAAGGAAUUGACGGGGGCCCGCACAAGCGGUGGAGCAUGUGGUUUAUCGAGCACGCGAGAGCUUACAGUCUGACAUACCAGUGCUAUCUAGAGAUAGAGUUACUUCGGUACACUGGAUACAGG
rnacentral:rRNA from 1 species